rnacentral:rRNA from 1 species
AUGUCGUCGUCGUCCCCGCGGCCGGCGACGCAGCGCCGGCGCCUCCACCCGGCCGCCUACCUCUCCGCGGCGGCCACCCUCCUGGCGCUCGUCGCCGCGGCCUUCUCCCGCGCCCUCGGCCCCCGCUUCCCCAACCCGCCCGACGCCCGCCGCUGCCGCCCCGACCCCGAGGGCUCCUGGUCCGCCGGCGUCUUCCUCGGCGACUCCCCGUUCGCCCUCAAGCCCAUCGAACACUGGGGAAUCUCGGCGGACGCGGGCGCGGCGUGGUCGGUCGCGAACCCGGCGGUGACGUGCGCGGACGUGGCGCAGUCUGGAUCCCCCAGCAGCUUCGUCGCCAGCCCCUUCCUCUUCCUCCAGGGCGAUGGCAUCUACAUGUUCUUCGAGACGAAGAACCCCGCUACAUCGCAGGGCGACAUUGCCGCUGCCGUGAGCAAGGACGCCGGCGCGACAUGGCAGCAGCUGGGCGUGGUGCUAGAUGAGGAGUGGCAUCUCUCGUACCCAUACGUGUUCAGCUACAAUAGCAAGGUCUACAUGAUGCCUGAAAGUAGUAAGAAUGGAGAUCUCCGGUUGUAUCGUGCAUUGGAUUUCCCCCUUAAGUGGACACUGGAGAAGGUCCUUCUGGAGAAGCCACUUGUGGAUUCAGUCAUCAUAAAUUUCAGGGGUUCCUAUUGGCUCAUUGGGUCAGAUUUAAGUUCUUAUGGUGCGAAACAGAAUGGAGAGCUCAGUAUCUGGUAUAGCAGCUCUCCUCUUGCCCCUUGGAAUCCACACAGGCAUAAUACAAUCGGUAGCAUGGAUAACGGGUCGAGUUUUAGAAAUGGAGGCAGGCCCUUCGUUUAUGACGGCGAUCUCUAUCGUAUAGGCAAACAGAGUGGUGGUGUGUCUGGCCAUAGUAUUAAAGUGUUCAGAGUAGAAAUCCUAACAGCAAAUGAAUACAAGGAAAUUGAGGUCCCAUUUGUCUUUGACAAGCCCCGCAAGGGUCGAAAUGCAUGGAACGGUGCACGAUCCCAUCACCUUGAUGUUCAAUGGCUUCCAUCAAGUCAACUCUGGAUUGGUGUAAUGGAUGGUGAUAGAGUGUCUUCAAAUGAUUCAGUUCACCGCCUGACCAUAGGGUACAUGUUUUAUGGAGUCACUCUGUUACUAGUUCUUCUGCUUGGUGGGCUUAUUGGUGCAAUUAGAUGCACAAUACCACUCAGAUGGUGUGUUCCACAUACUGAGAAACGGGAUGACUUCUUCCAUUCAAAGCAGCAGUUCUUUCUGAAGUAUAAGCUAAGUUCGCUGUUUUCCAGUUUGAACAAGUUGGGUUCUCUUCUUGGUGGGAGAAUCAACUACAGAACUUGGAAGGGACGAGUUUAUGUUGUGCUAGUAAUACUAGUCUUAAUUUUUCUAACUUGUCUUGGAACUCACUGCAUAUAUGGUGGCAAUGGUGCUGAAGAGCCAUAUCCAAUCAAGGGUAGGUACUCGCAGUUCACGCUGUUAACUAUGACAUACGAUGCCCGGCUUUGGAAUCUGAAGAUGUUUGUGGAGCAUUACUCCAAAUGUGCAUCAGUGAGGGAGAUUGUGGUUAUCUGGAAUAAAGGCCGCCCCCCAGUGCAAAAUGAAUUGAAGUCAGCUGUUCCUGUCAGGGUCAGAGUUGAAGAUAAGAACACUCUGAACAAUAGAUUCAACAUGGAUGAAAAAAUUAAGACAAGAGCUGUUAUGGAGCUCGAUGAUGAUAUCAUGAUGGCAUGUGACGACUUAGAGCGUGGGUUCAAGGUAUGGAGGGAGCACCCUGAUAGGAUUGUUGGGUACUACCCACGCCUUGCUGAAGGUACUCCACUGGAAUACCGCAAUGAGAGGUAUGCUCGGCAACAAGGAGGUUAUAACAUGGUACUGACUGGAGCAGCAUUCAUGGAUCAUGGCUUGGCCUUUGAGAGGUAUUGGAGCAAGAAGGCUGAGGUAGGAAGGAAGAUGGUAGACAGUUUCUUCAAUUGUGAGGAUGUGCUUCUAAAUUUCCUGUUUGCAAAUGCAAGCUCAAUGAGCACGGUGGAGUAUGUAAAGCCAGCUUGGGCAAUUGAUAUGUCUAAGUUUUCAGGAGUAGCCAUUAGUCGAAACACACAAGCACAUUAUCAUGUUAGGAGCAAAUGCCUUGCUAAAUUUUCAGAAGUCUAUGGGAACUUAACUGCUAAAAGGUUCUUUAGCAGUCGAGGUGAUGGCUGGGAUGUAUAG